rnacentral:rRNA from 1 species
CAGUCGCCGCGGGAAUACGUAGGUCCCGAGCGUUGUCCGGAUUUAUUGGGCGUAAAGCGAGCGCAGGCGGUUAGAUAAGUCUGAAGUUAAAGGCAUUGGCUCAACCAAUGUAUGCUUUGGAAACUGUUAGACUUGAGUGCAGAAGGGGAGAGUGGAAUUCCAUGUGUAGCGGUGAAAUGCGUAGAUAUAUGGAGGAACACCGGUGGCGAAAGCGGCUCUCUGGUCUGUAACUGACGCUGAGGCUCGAAAGCGUGGGGAGCAAACAGGAUUAGAUACCCCCGUAGUCCCUGUCUCUUAUACC